CACAGCCUGGUCCUCCCAGAUGAGCUGAUUUUUAUCAAAGUGGGAGAAGCAGGACUUGGCAGAGAGGAUCCCUCCGGGAAGGAAUGCUGGGAGUCCUAAAAUUCCAGAGGCAGGAGUGGAAGCUGCUGGGGUGUACGGUGACUGCAUUGCAGGAAGGGAGCCUCAGGUGACUGACAUCUGUGUCCCCUCUCCUGGGAUGGGUUUGCUGGAGACUCUGUCCUGGAGUCGUGAGAACCCCUCUCUGCAGGCGGGAGCGUGCUGGCUCGGGGACUCGAAAGAGGGAGCAGGCCUUUGAAAGCGAGAAGGGCACGGACGUCGGGAAGAGCAGAGGGAUGCGGAGGGCAGGCAGUGAGGGCACUGAGCGUGCAGACUUCCCUGAGAAGCAGGAGCAGCUGACCAUGACUGAACCCUUUCCAGAAAGCCGCCGGCCAUCUCUCAUGUUGGGGAAGAAGUCAUCUCACGUGGGAAGCCAGAGUAGGACUAUGACAUCUUGGGCUGAAACCGCCUUUGUCUCCCCCAACCUCACACUUCCGUCCGGUUUUCUGAUUUACAACAGAAGCAUUUUGAUUAAAGUGUAAUUGCACCAGGAACACGUGUGUAUAUUCUCCACGUAAGAUGAAGAAAUCUGGGGAGAACACUGAGGUUCUCAUCAACUUCCCCCAUGAGCGCAGAUCUUUCUCUCUUCCCCAGGAAUAACUACUGCUCCCUGUUUGUUCCAUAUCUUCCUGGACUCCUGCCUACCAAUUUACAGCACUGUUAGAGCAGGGGAUUUGAGGGGUGUGUGUUUGUUGCCUGUAUCGGUGUUGGUUUUUCAUGAAAAGUCAACAAAACCAUAGACGGGCUCAUGUGGCAUUUUUUACUCCACAGAACGUCAGGGAGAUAGUUCAAACAUCAUUACUUGUAAAUCUACCUCGUUUUUUAAAACCACGCUCCACUACUAAUGGAUGUUGAGAGUUGUUUCCAGUUUCCUUCUACUAGCUGAGCUGAAAUAAACGUCCUUGUGUGCAGAGGGGGCAUUUCUCCAGUGAGGAAUUUCCAAGGCAUGGAAUUGGCAUCUGCUUUUAAAAUUCCACUGGACGCUCCUACCGGCAGAGCGAAGCAGUACCUGUGUCCCACGCUCGCAUCAACACUCGAUCCUGACAACCCUUUUACCGUUUCAUUAUCAUUUUGUCAAGUGGCCAUUUUAGGAACUGAGACGUGCUCUGCCACACUGGGUCUGUGCUUUGCAGGCAGCCGAUGGACAUUUGCAAGACGUGAAGAUGGUUGGAGCAAAGCGCAGCGUUUCAUUCACAAAAGCUGACUUUUAAAAUCAAAUGACCGACUAUUUGCAGGAUUUUAGCCAUUCACUCUUUCCAGUAGUUAUUUGUAAAAUUGGCAGUCCUCGUAAGUUGUUACCAAAUGAUAAACACCGAGGGUCCGAACGAGAUAUCAUUAAGAAGCCUUACUUUACGUGCAUAAUGGAACAAGCAGCUGCUUCUUUGCCAACAAAAGAACAGUAUUU